ACAGAAUAUUUGGGGAGCUUUUUGCUGAGAGGAAGUUCGACUUCGACCCACAACCUGAUUUGGAUAAUGCCAACGUAGGGAUGACGCAAUUGACAGGCG
rnacentral:ncRNA from 2 species